rnacentral:lncRNA from 1 species
UGCCUGAAAACUAUAAUUGAAUUUUCUUUUUCCUUUUAUAUUCUUGUUUUCUUAUAUGUUCUUUUAAUACUCCCUCUGUCCCAUUUUACUCGUCCUAAUUUGACAUUAUACAUUGAUUAAGAAAAAUAAUUAAUAACAUGGUUAUUUUAUCAUAGUACCCCUAUUAAAUGAUGUUUACAUUUUAAUUUGGAGAAAAAAAUAAUUAAUAUUAAGGGUAAAAAAGAAAAACAACUGUCUUGAUUAAUGAAAAAUGACAAGUAAAAUGAGAAAUUAAAUUUAAAAAUUUGGGACGGGUAAAAUGAGAUGGAGGAAGUAUAUCGUACGUAUUUACCUCCGCUCAGACAUAGUAGAUCGAAAUCCCCAAUUUCAUUACCUAAAUAAUUAUGACUUAUUGGCUUAUAAUAUAUGUAUAGAUGUGUGUCAUCUAUUUAUUGAAUUAAUGCAACUAAACUUAGAAUUGAAGAGAGAAUAAAGUGUCUAACAUAUGGUACAAUCCAAUUGAUGGAAAGAGAUGCUUCAAGCCCAGUAACUUUAAGUUGUUCAAAUUUAUGGUUUUUGGAAUUAGAAACCACAAUAACAGUUUGAUAUCUCAACAACAACGUCGCCAUUCUUGUUAAAGGUGACAGGCCUCCAAGAACGUCUGAAUUCACCUGCAUCGCAGUGUAUUAAUUCAAUCGUCGUCAUCUUAAUCCAUGUUCAGGGGCAGAGCCAGGCCUUGUUAGUGGAUUCGGCCGAACCCCCUUCGACUGAAAAAUAUAUCAUUUAUAUAUGAUUAAAAUUAUUUUUAUGUAUUUAUAAUAGGUGUUGAACCCCCUUCGGCUAGGUUUCCUUCGAAUAUUGAACCCCCUUAAUUGAAAUUUUGGCUUCGCCUCUAUCCAUGUUGCACUCUUUUUCAUACCCCAAACUUCAAAUUGGAUGUCGAGUCAUCGUACAAACCUAGUCAAACAAAGUUUUUCUCUUAGAGAAUACAGGACCAUCUCUUUUUUCAAUAAAUAAUAUUUCCCGUACUGUCCUUUUUUAAAUAAAAUCGUGUGAUCUUAAAUAUGUCAGGUUUUCUCAAGUAUUCAUAAUCGCCAAAAUGUAAGCAAUUCCAUCUACUACAACAAUUUCCCCACCACGUGGAUGAAUAGAAGACACUUGUCUAUCAAUUCCCAUGACUUACUUUUGUUUGCACAAAAUACUUCGAUUUCAUAAUAAAGUGCAAAAUACGUAUUUACCUGGACAGGGUUAAUGGAUAAUCAUUAAGACUCGUUGCCUAGGCUGGUGACCUCCAUUGCACUUUGGAAGGGUGUCCACCUAAGGUCAGACCAAGUGAUUGAGCCUAUAUCCUAAUUUGUGGCAGCAGAGUCGUACGUUUGCACACCCCUACCCAAAAAAAAAAAAAAAAGUGCAAAAUACUUCAAUUUCAUAAUAAAGUGAAAAACCUUUCUACCCUACUCUUACUAUCCCUCCAUCGGACUAUGAACUUUUCUUGAUCCUCUAGUGGGCGGGUUCCAUAAAACAACUUCAUCAUAAGGGAAAAUUAGAAGUAGUAUACCAUUGCAAGAACUAAAACACUGUACUCAACUGAACAUAAUCGAUUCUCGGAAUUACAUCAAAAAAGACAAACGAGAUCAUGCCGAAGUGGAGCAUCUACGUAGUAGUAGUAAUGAUCUUCCUUCUUGCAAGACAUCAAGAAUUUGUAGCUAUUUAUAUCACUUUUGCAUCCGUCGUGACGAAGAUGGAUGAAUUGACUAUCUUAUAUUAGAGAGUGUCAUGAUUUGCAAACAAAGGAAGUUUUAGUAGUUGUCACACCCUUUAAAGGGCUUUUAUUAUUAAGUGACAAAAGAUGAAAUUUAUUUCAAAAGGAUUUUUACAAUUAAAUUCAGAGUCGUCACUUGACAUAUCGAGUGUGUCAAAUCACCUUUUCGGAAAUCUUUUUUUAAAACGAUUUGACUCUAAAAGCUGAUCCGCGAACAGAGAUUUCAGUUAAGGAAUUCUAUUGACCGAGGGGAAGAUAUUAGGCAUCCCUCGAUCCCGUGGUUCGACCACAAUCGCUUUGUUGAAUAUAUCGUCUAGUACGACAUUAUGAAAUGUAUAAACCAACAAACACAUAAAUUUGAAAACAAACAACCAAAACAAAUCAAAACUUCAAACAUAGUAUCCAGUCCAAUUAUUACAGUCCAAAAUAAUUUUUUUAAAAAAAGGUACUGAAUGAACCUACACUAACCAUACUAAUCCUGAUCUAUGCUCUAUUCGAUGCUUCGGGCCUUGAUCACGAACAUUCUUCGCAUACAUGAUACUUCGAAAAAUUCUCCGAUAAAUGAAUACAACUUUCCUUGGAACAUUCCCGAUCAAAUAAGUACAAUUAAUUCAAAAUCGAUACAAACAAAAAUCAAUCAAAACAUUCAAACAUUCAAUAACCCACAACCCCUAAGUUAGCCUACCCACCCAACCUACAGUUUGCCUACACCUAAACAUGCUACUAUCGACUUUAAACAAAAUUAACGACUAUUCCAAUUUAAACAACAACAGUCAACGAGUCAAAACAAAUUCACAUUAGCUUUUAUCCAUAUUUCCAAUCCCGCCUCCCAAGUCAUCAAUUUUAACAAUGAAGCAUUCAAUUAUUCGAAUCUAAAUUCAUUUGACAGAAACAAACCAACUAACAAAAUCAGUCAACCAACCAUAGGUAAAUAAUCGAGCAUUGCAAUCAUGUAAAUUACAAAGAAAUAAAACGAAUAGAGAGUAGAAGAAAUGGACCUUCCGAAUCAAAUUCAUUGAUUAUUCUCAUGAAAGACCGGAGUAUCGCAGCCAUCGGAACCUCAAUCCAAAUCGAACCUCAACGUCGAGCUCAUCCGCUCUACAUGAAUUCUCCGGUGAUGGCAUUCGAAACUGAUUUUGAUCGCAGGAAAGAUUGUUUGGACCGGAAAUUGAGUUUUUUAAUGAAAGGGGAGAAAACGAACGGAGUUAUUCCGUCGAAAACUCACCGGAAUGGAUUUGCCUUCUACCGUUUCUCACUGUUUCCUACUGAUUUCUCCUUGUUUUCUCUGUUUAUUACCCCUCUCGAUCUCUCCCUCAAUCUUUCUCUCAAUUCCCCUCUUUUUUUUUUGCUCUCUCUCCCGAUUCUCUCUAAUUUUCCCACUCAAUUUUCUCUCUCUUUCCCCGAUUUUCAUUCUCUGCGUGUGUAAUUUCAAUCUCUUUCUCUUUUGCUUUUUUCCAGUCUGUGGAUGAAGUAUGGUGUGUAUUUUUGUCAAUGUCUGUGUAUGUAGCAUGUGUUUUGUUUAUAGUGAGGUGUGUGGAUGUGUGAGUGUGAGUGCGUGUGCAUAGGGUUGUUGGGAGUGGGUGGAUUAGGUGGGGGUAGGGGUAGAGUACGUGGGGUAGGAAGAGG